rnacentral:rRNA from 1 species
UACAGAGGUCUCAAGCGUUGUUCGGAUUCAUUGGGCGUAAAGGGUGUGUAGGUGGCGCGCUAAGUCGGGUGUGAAAUUUCGGAGCUUAACUCCGAAACUGCAUUCGAUACUGGCGUGCUUGAGGACUGGAGAGGAGACUGGAAUUCAUGGUGUAGCAGUGAAAUGCGUAGAGAUCAUGAGGAAGACCAGUGGCGAAGGCGGCCUUCUGGACGGUGACUGACGCUGAGACGCGAAAGCGUGGGGAGCAAACAGG